rnacentral:rRNA from 1 species
GGACGGGUGAGUAACACGUGGGCAACCUGCCUGUAAGACUGGGAUAACUUCGGGAAACCGGAGCUAAUACCGGAUAAUUCUUUCCCUCACAUGAGGGAAAGCUGAAAGAUGGUUUCGGCUAUCACUUACAGAUGGGCCCGCGGCGCAUUAGCUAGUUGGUGAGGUAACGGCUCACCAAGGCAACGAUGCGUAGCCGACCUGAGAGGGUGAUCGGCCACACUGGGACUGAGACACGGCCCAGACUCCUACGGGAGGCAGCAGUAGGGAAUCUUCCGCAAUGGACGAAAGUCUGACGGAGCAACGCCGCGUGAGUGAUGAAGGUUUUCGGAUCGUAAAACUCUGUUGUUAGGGAAGAACAAGUACCGGAGUAACUGCCGGUACCUUGACGGUACCUAACCAGAAAGCCACGGCUAACUACGUGCCAGCAGCCGCGGUAAUACGUAGGUGGCAAGCGUUGUCCGGAAUUAUUGGGCGUAAAGCGCGCGCAGGCGGUUCCUUAA